AAAUAAUUUUCUUGUACGAAAUGGAAGCAAGCGCAUACAAGGCCUUGACACUCUGCUCAAGCUCCAGAGAUAUGUCAUAUGGAAUUAUGACAAAUACUACACUUACGACGCGUUGUACCUAAUUACAGGCCUCGACAUGGGCUACCAUGGAUUUUAUGGCUGGGAGUCUGGACAACAAGGCAUUGCAUUCAUUGGAGGUGUGUGCACCAUCGAUAAGAUGGGCCUGGGUGAAGACAAGGCAGACACCUUCAGCGGCGUACGAAUAACAGCUCACGAACUGGGGCA